AUUGAACGCUGGCGGCAGGCCUAACACAUGCAAGUCGAGCGAGCGGCGGACGGGUGAGUAAUGUAUGGGAAACUGCCUGAUGGCGGGGGAUAACUACUGGAAACGGUAGCUAAUACCGCAUACCAUCAGAUGUGCCCAGAUGGGAUUAGGUAGUAGGUGGGGUAACGGCUCACCUAGGCGACGAUCCCUAGCUGGUCUGAGAGGAUGACCGGCCACACUCGAACUGAGACACGGUCCAGACUCCUGCCGGAGGUAGCAGUGGGGAAUAUUGCUCAAUGGGCGAAAGCCUGAUGCGGCCAUGCCGCGUGGGUGAAGAAGGCUUUAUGGUUGUAAAGCACUUUGAGCGAGGAGGCGUUACUCGCAGAAUAAGCACCGGCUAACUCUGUGCCAGCAGCCGCGGUAAUUC
rnacentral:rRNA from 1 species